rnacentral:lncRNA from 1 species
UCCAUGACCUGUGUUCCCACUUCUCCUUGAUAAGGCCAAUGUUUUGGCCCUACUGGUGAAAAUAUGUAGACCUAACAUCUAUCUCCCUGCUCCAGUUUCAAGAGAAAAGACCUUAUUCAGAGAAAUAUUUAGAAGACUCUUGUGGAAUUCUUGCUGCAGGGAGGAACUUGGAUUGUCCUUCAGUAAAAUUCCACUUUGAUGCGCAAAGCGAACUUGAAUUUCUGCUUGGCCUACCACAGGCCUGCAACAUGCACUUUCUCCUCGAGGGAACUGCCACUCACUGACACGGACAACAGUAAAGGAACUUGGUCUUCACUAUGCCUCAUAGUGGUGGGUCACACUGCCCAGGAGGAACCCGCAAUGAGACCGGCAAAUGCCUUAACCAUCUCAUUGUCUCAUCAGGAAGAAGCUUAAAUGACUCUUCUUGCUCACAUACUUCCUGGGCAAACAUGUCUGCUCUGUUGGGAUAAAGGACGCUCUAGACCAGGCUCUGCUGAAAGAUCCAGGGCAAAGGUUCCUGACAAGACUAUGUCCAGCCUCAAAUAAGGCCACAGAAGAGCCCAGGCUCGCUGACGAGCACCGGCUCCGAGGCAGUCACAUCAGGAGACAGAAACAGACAUGUUGGUGCUGCCCUCUCAGGUCAGUGCAAAUGCCACUUGAGGAGGGCUGAGAGCUUUGCAGCAUAAAAUGACCAGAACAAGGAGAAACACAGAUGCAAUGGCAAUAGCUGGCAAUUCGCACAUGGCGUCAAACACCACUGCCACAGAAGCUUUUUAGCUACAAGCCACGCUAUGCAACCUUUAAGCAAAACAUUAUUGAUUUUGUGGUUGUAAAAACAUAC